AGUCCAGGUGGAUAAUUUGUAAUUUCGAUAUUAAUCUGGGUUGAUUAAGUGGUCGUUUGUCGAUUUCUGGGGCUGUUUCGAACAUCUCUUUGUCUGGUUUUCGUGCUUCUAAAACGUGUGUGUGAGUAUGGGUUAUCCAUGAUUUCCGAGGAGUUUUUAUAUCGUUUUGUUAUUUGGGACAUGGAUCAGGAUGUAUUCUCCUUAAUUGUUCCUCUUGUGAUUCAGGCUUGGGGAUGUUUGUUUCAUUAUUGUAUGCAACAUCUGCAGAGGAUUAUUUUUGGCGACAUGGGCUCUUCGUUUGUGUACCGUUUAUUCAAUCAACGGAUUGCGGAUGUUUUUGUCAUAGAGUAUUGCGAUUUAUCUGUAAUUUUUGUAUAGUUUGCAUGGCGGAUGCUGUUCCGAGGCAUAGUUUUGAUCGUGUUUCUGGUUGGUUGAGUCGGUGGUUUAAAUGUAUUCUGAUUCAGAUCGUUUGCUGUCUUUUUCGUUCGUUUGAUUUCUUUUUAACUGUGUUUUUAUGGACGGUGUGUGGGAGUAUCGGUUGUCUAUGAUUUUCAAAGGAAUUGCGUCUGUUUAUUGCUCGGGAUGUGGGUCGGAGUGAAUUUUUUCCCCCCUAUUUUUGAAAUAUAUAUAUUUUGUAAGCUGAAUUUGGGGGUAUCCGCUUGGUUGUUGUUUGAAGUGUCUGCAGAAGAUGGAUGACCGUUCAAUUGGGGUUGCGGUGUGUGGAUUAUUUUGACUUGGAAAAAGAAGAAUUUUUGUGCGUCUUUGAUUUGGUGAGAACGACGGUAGGAGUUUAUUCUUUGGGGAGAUAGUGAUCACUUCUAGUCGACUUCAGAUUAUUAUCAAUAGGUUUCAUUGGGCGUUGUUUUUGUUUGUUAAUGUUAUUUCGGUCAGGAGACCAGGGCGGUUCUUUUUGUUUUUUUUUGGGGUAUUUUAAUUUUUAUCUCUGUAUAUAUUAUUUGUAAUUUGGGCAAUGGGAUUUUGAGAGUUGAAUAAAUCAUUGUCUGUUACCAUA